rnacentral:rRNA from 1 species
ACCCGCACGAAAGGCGUAACGAUUUGGGCACUGUCUCAACGAGAGACUCGGUGAAAUCAUAGUACCUGUGAAGAUGCAGGUUACCCGCGACAGGACGGAAAGACCCCGUGGAGCUUUACUGUAGCCUGAUAUUGAAAUUCGGCACAGCUUGUACAGGAUAGGUAGGAGCCUUUGAAACGUGAGCGCUAGCUUACGUGGAGGCGCUGGUGGGAUACUACCCUAGCUGUGUUGGCUUUCUAACCCGCACCACUUAUCGUGGUGGGAGACAGUGUCAGGCGGGCAGUUUGACUGGGGCGGUCGCCUCCUAAAAGGUAACGGAGGCGCUCAAAGGUUCCCUCAGAAUGGUUGGAAAUCAUUCAUAGAGUGUAAAGGCAUAAGGGAGCUUGACUGCGAGACCUACAAGUCGAGCAGGGUCGAAAGACGGACUUAGUGAUCCGGUGGUUCCGCAUGGAAGGGCCAUCGCUCAACGGAUAAAAG